rnacentral:rRNA from 1 species
CUAACACAUGCAAGUCGAACGGUAACAGGAAGCAGCUUGCUGCUUUGCUGACGAGUGGCGGACGGGUGAGUAAUGUCUGGGAAACUGCCUGAUGGAGGGGGAUAACUACUGGAAACGGUAGCUAAUACCGCAUAACGUCGCAAGACCAAAGAGGGGGACCUUCGGGCCUCUUGCCAUCGGAUGUGCCCAGAUGGGAUUAGCUAGUAGGUGGGGUAACGGCUCACCUAGGCGACGAUCCCUAGCUGGUCUGAGAGGAUGACCAGCCACACUGGAACUGAGACACGGUCCAGACUCCUACGGGAGGCAGCAGUGGGGAAUAUUGCACAAUGGGCGCAAGCCUGAUGCAGCCAUGCCGCGUGUAUGAAGAAGGCCUUCGGGUUGUAAAGUACUUUCAGCGGGGAGGAAGGGAGUAAAGUUAAUACCUUUGCUCAUUGACGUUACCCGCAGAAGAAGCACCGGCUAACUCCGUGCCAGCAGCCGCGGUAAUACGGAGGGUGCAAGCGUUAAUCGGAAUUACUGGGCGUAAAGCGCACGCAGGCGGUUUGUUAAGUCAGAUGUGAAAUCCCCGGGCUCAACCUGGGAACUGCAUCUGAUACUGGCAAGCUUGAGUCUCGUAGAGGGGGGUAGAAUUCCAGGUGUAGCGGUGAAAUGCGUAGAGAUCUGGAGGAAUACCGGUGGCGAAGGCGGCCCCCUGGACGAAGACUGACGCUCAGGUGCGAAAAGCGUGGGGAGCAAACAGGAUUAGAU